CAGGGUACUCGAGUGGCGAACGGGUGAGUAACACGUGGGUGAUCUGCCCUGCACUUCGGGAUAAGCUUGGGAAACUGGGUCUAAUACCGGAUAGGAACCAUCUUUAGUGUGGUGGUUGGAAAGUUUUUUCGGUGUAGGAUGAGCUCGCGGCCUAUCAGCUUGUUGGUGGGGUAAUGGCCUACAAGGCGGCGACGGGUAGCCGGCCUGAGAGGGUGUACGGCCACAUUGGGACUGAGAUACGGCCCAG
rnacentral:rRNA from 1 species